rnacentral:rRNA from 1 species
AGCUAGUUGGUAGGGUAACGGCCUACCAAGGCAACGAUCGGUAGCCGGCCUGAGAGGGCACACGGCCACACUGGCACUGAAACACGGGCCAGACUCCUACGGGAGGCAGCAGUGGGGAAUCUUGCACAAUGGGGGAAACCCUGAUGCAGCGACGCCGCGUGAGCGAUGAAGCCCCUCGGGGUGUAAAGCUCUUUCGGCAGGAAAGAUAAUGACGGUACCUGCAGAAGAAGCUGCGGCUAACUACGUGCCAGCAGCCGCGGUAAUACGUAGGCAGCGAGCGUUGUUCGGAGUUACUGGGCGUAAAGAGUGUGUAGGCGGUUUGCCAAGUUCGGUGUGAAAUCUCCCGGCUUAACUGGGAGGGUGCGCCGAAUACUGGCAGGCUAGAGUGCGGGAGAGGAAAGCGGAAUUCCUGGUGUAGCGGUGAAAUGCGUAGAUAUCAGGAGGAACACCUGCGGUGUAGACGGCUUUCUGGACCGCCACUGACGCUGAGACACGAAAGCGUGGGGAGCAAACAGGAUUAGAUACCCUGGUAGUCCACGCCUUAAACUAUGGAUACUAAGUGUCGGCGGGUUACCGCCGGUGCCGCAGCUAACGCAUUAAGUAUCCCGCCUGGGAAGUACGGCCGCAAGGUUG